rnacentral:rRNA from 1 species
UACGAAGGGGGCUAGCGUUGCUCGGAAUCACUGGGCGUAAAGGGUGCGUAGGCGGGUCUUUUAAGUCAGGGGUGAAAUCCUGGAGCUCAACUCCAGAACUGCCUUUGAUACUGAGGAUCUUGAGUACGGGAGAGGUGAGUGGAACUGCGAGUGUAGAGGUGAAAUUCGUAGAUAUUCGCAAGAACACCAGUGGCGAAGGCGGCUCACUGGCC